AGAGCGAAUGGUGGAUGCCUUGACUGGUAAAGGCGAUGAAGGACGUACUAGACUGCGAUAAGCUACGGGGAGCUGUCAAGAAGCUUUGAUCCGUAGAUUUCCGAAUGGGGCAACCCAAUGUAUAGAGAUAUACAUUACCUAUAUAGGAGCGAACGAGGGGAAUUGAAACAUCUUAGUACCCUCAGGAAAAGAAAUCAAUAGAGAUUGCGUCAGUAGCGGCGAGCGAAAGCGCAAGAGGGCAAACCCAGUGCUUGCACUGGGGGUUGUAGGACUGCAAUGUGCAAGAGGUGAGUUUAGCAGAACAUUCUGGAAAGUAUAGCCAUAGAGGGUGAUAGUCCCGUAUGCGAAAAACAAACCUUAGCUAGCAGUAUCCUGAGUAGGGCGGGACACGAGAAAUCCUGUCUGAAGCUGGGUCGACCACGAUCCAACCCUAAAUACUAAUACCAGAUCGAUAGUGCACAAGUACCGUGAGGGAAAGGUGAAAAGAACUGAGGUGAUCAGAGUGAAAUAGAACCUGAAACCAUUUGCUUACAAUCAUUCAGAGCACUAUGUAGCAAUACAGUGUGAUGGACUGCCUUUUGCAUAAUGAGCCUGCGAGUUGUGGUGUCUGGCAAGGUUAAGCAAACGCGAAGCCGUAGCGAAAGCGAGUCUGAAUAGGGCGCUUAGUCAGAUGCUGCAGACCCGAAACGAAGUGAUCUAUCCAUGAGCAAGUUGAAGCUAGUGUAAGAACUAGUGGAGGACUGAACCCAUAGGCGUUGAAAAGCCCCGGGAUGACUUGUGGAUAGGGGUGAAAGGCCAAUCAAACUUCGUGAUAGCUGGUUCUCUCCGAAAUAUAUUUAGGUAUAGCGUUGUGUCGUAAUAUAAGGGGGUAGAGCACUGAAUGGGCUAGGGCAUACACCAAUGUACCAAACCCUAUCAAACUCCGAAUACCUUAUAUGUAAUCACAGCAGUCAGGCGGCGAGUGAUAAAAUCCGUCGUCAAGAGGGAAACAACCCAGACUACCAGCUAAGGUCCCUAAAUCUUACUUAAGUGGAAAACGAUGUGAAGUUACUUAAACAACCAGGAGGUUGGCUUAGAAGCAGCCAUCCUUUAAAGAAAGCGUAAUAGCUCACUGGUCUAGUGAUUUUGCGCGGAAAAUAUAACGGGGCUAAAGUAAGUACCGAAGCUGUAGACUUGACUUUGUCAAGUGGUAGGAGAGCGUUCUAUUUGCGUCGAAGGUAUACCGGUAAGGAGUGCUGGAGCGAAUAGAAGUGAGCAUGCAGGCAUGAGUAGCGAUAAUUAAUGUGAGAAUCAUUAACGCCGUAAACCCAAGGUUUCCUACGCGAUGCUCGUCAUCGUAGGGUUAGUCGGGUCCUAAGUCGAGUCCGAAAGGGGUAGACGAUGGCAAAUUGGUUAAUAUUCCAAUACCAACAUUAGUGUGCGAUGGAAGGACGCUUAGGGCUAAGGGGGCUAGCGGAUGGAAGUGCUAGUCUAAGGUCGUAGGUGCUUAUACAGGCAAAUCCGUAUAAGAAUACACCGAGAACUGAAAGGCUUUUUGAAGUCUUCGGAUGGAUAGAAGAACCCCUGAUGCCGUCGAGCCAAGAAAAGUUUCUAAGUUUAGCUAAUGUUGCCCGUACCGUAAACCGACACAGGUGGGUGGGAUGAGUAUUCUAAGGCGCGUGGAAGAACUCUCUUUAAGGAACUCUGCAAAAUAGCACCGUAUCUUCGGUAUAAGGUGUGGUUCGCUUCGUAUUAGGAUUUACUCCGAAAGCGAAGAAACUUACAACAAAGAGUCCCUCCCGACUGUUUACCAAAAACACAGCACUCUGCUAACUCGUAAGAGGAUGUAUAGGGUGUGACGCCUGCCCGGUGCUCGAAGGUUAAUUGAUGGGGUUAGCAUUAGCGAAGCUCUUGAUCGAAGCCCGAGUAAACGGCGGCCGUAACUAUAACGGUCCUAAGGUAGCGAAAUUCCUUGUCGGUUAAAUACCGACCUGCAUGAAUGGCGUAACGAGAUGGGAGCUGUCUCAAAGAGGGAUCCAGUGAAAUUGUAGUGGAGGUGAAAAUUCCUCCUACCCGCGGCAAGACGGAAAGACCCCGUGGACCUUUACUACAGCUUGACACUGCUAUUUGGAUAAGAAUGUGCAGGAUAGGUGGGAGGCUUUGAGUAUAUGACGCCAGUUGUAUAUGAGCCAUUGUUGAGAUACCACUCUUUCUUAUUUGGGUAGCUAACCAGCUUGAGUUAUCCUCAAGUGGGACAAUGUCUGGUGGGUAGUUUGACUGGGGCGGUCGCCUCCCAAAUAAUAACGGAGGCUUACAAAGGUUGGCUCAGAACGGUUGGAAAUCGUUCGUAGAGUAUAAAGGUAUAAGCCAGCUUAACUGCAAGACAUACAAGUCAAGCAGAGACGAAAGUCGGUCUUAGUGAUCCGGUGGUUCUGUGUGGAAGGGCCAUCGCUCAAAGGAUAAAAGGUACCCCGGGGAUAACAGGCUGAUCUCCCCCAAGAGCUCACAUCGACGGGGAGGUUUGGCACCUCGAUGUCGGCUCAUCGCAUCCUGGGGCUGGAGCAGGUCCCAAGGGUAUGGCUGUUCGCCAUUUAAAGCGGUACGCGAGCUGGGUUCAGAACGUCGUGAGACAGUUCGGUCCCUAUCUGCCGUGGGCGUAAGAAGAUUGAAGAGAUUUGACCCUAGUACGAGAGGACCGGGUUGAACAAACCACUGGUGUAGCUGUUGUUCUGCCAAGAGCAUCGCAGCGUAGCUAAGUUUGGAAAGGAUAAACGCUGAAAGCAUCUAAGCGUGAAGCCAACUCUAAGAUGAAUCUUCUCUAAGCUCUCUAGAAGACUACUAGUUUGAUAGGCUGGGUGUGUAAUGGAUGAAAGUCCUUUAGCUGACCAGUACUAAUAGAGCGUUUGGCUUAUCU
rnacentral:rRNA from 1 species